GGCGCGAGCGGUUUCUCCCGUCACAGUGGUUCCCACGGUUGUCUUAGAAACCAGACCCCGAGGCUUGGCAGAGCAGGAGCCCUCGGUGGCAGUGCUUGGGUGUCGAGGCUCUGAGGCUCCGGCCUCACCUCUCCACGGGGUCGAAGGGAACGUCUCCGGAUGCCAGGAGUCGCAAAGGGCCGACCAUGAUGAUGAAACCCCAGGCAGAGACGGGGGAAGCAGCACGGGAUCCCAGCCUCAGGCCUGCACGGACGGUGUUGGUUGGGAGACGAGGUCUCACUAUAUUGACCAGGCUGGUCUUGAACUCCUGGCCUUAAGCGAUCCUCCUGCCUUGGCCUCCCAAAGUGCUGGAGUUACAGAUGUGAGCCUCUGUGCUCAGUCCAUCCUUGGCUGUUCAAGUGUAGAGGUCCAGUGUCUGAUUCUUUUGGGAAGCUGGAUAUGAAGUCAGAAUCUUUCUUUGAGUCAUACAUUUUCAUGAUUAUGAUUAUUAUUGAAUGAUAGCUGACAAUUAUUGAGAGCAAUUAUUGAGGACAAUUAUUGAGCUUUCACAAGCCCUUUUCAAAGGUCUUUACAUAUAUUUUCUCCACUUCUAACUGUUAGAUAUUCUUAUUAUUCCCAUUUUGUAGAUGAGGGAUACACAGGCAUAAAGCCUAUGUGGAGGCAGAGAGCAGCUACGUAACCUGACCAUGGCCCAACAGCAAACAAAUGAUGGGGCCACAUGCAAAUCCAGGCAGAAUCCUUCUAUUAUAUGAAGCUCAAUGUUUUCUUGUUUGCAGCUUGUUAUGAAUACAUCUAUUUGCAAAUGGGUUUUGAAGCUACUUUAAAACAUUUUGUGGCUGUGCGUGGUGGCUGGCACCUGUAAUCCCAGCAUUAUGGGAGACCAAGGUGGGCAGAUUGCCUGAGCUCAGGAGUUUGAGACCAACCUGGCCAACAUGGUGAAACCCUGUGCCUACUAAAAAUACAAAAAAAUUAGCCAGGUGUGUUGGUGUGCACCUGUAAUCCCAGCUACUCUGGAGGGUGAGGCAGGAGAAUCACUUGAACCCAGGAGAGGAAGGUUGCAGUAAGCUGAGAUCAUGCCACUGAACUCCAGCCUGGGCAACAGAGUGAGAUUCUGUCUCCAAAUAAAAAAUAAAUAAGAUUGAAUUUUGAGCUCCUGACCAUGUCCCUAGAUUGUACUCAUAUGUAUUUUGAUGUCUAAUAAGAUUUAUUCUCAGUGCAUUUUUUAAGUGAAAGUAUUUAUUGAGCAUCUACUGUAUAUCAUGUGCUGAAAUAGGCACCAGUGGUGCAGGGAACAUAUGGCACAGUGUCUGACCUCAGGUAACUUUCACUCUCAUACAUAUGUAUUAGGACACCAACACAUGUGUGAAUAUAAGAUAGUAUGAUAGAUAUUGCAACAAGUAAUUAUUUACUGUAAACCUAUUUUAUAGGAUUUUAAACUUAAACUACUUUCACCCUAUUUCCAAAAAAAAGUAUUGCAUAACUUUAAAUAGAUUCUCAGUUUGAAAUCAUCAUACAAACUGCAGUAGCAUCUGCUGGUGAAAUACUGCUUUGUAUCUAUUAGAAUAGUCCAAACAAUUGUGAGACAACUGCAUUAUUAGAGCUGUAAAAGUUAUUGUCUAGAAAUCUCAGAGAAGAAGAGGAAGUUCUAUGGUAGAUGAAUAAGAUGACAUCUAAACUGUUCUCUUCAGCUACUGAAGUUCUGUGGAUAUCUCACAGCACAAAGUUCAAGUGUAUGCCCACAGCUCCUCAUGCCACAAGAUGUGACACCUUUCCAAUCUCUUUUUGCAAAAGUUUCCAAUUAUGUCUCUUUUAAGAGUACUUUUUAUACCCACAUAUUCCAGAUUUUGUGGUGCACGCAAAGACAAGAUGGGAAGGGGCUUCCAUUUAUUGAUGCCAGCUGCUCCAUGGACCAGGCCCUGCCCAUGCAUCCAUGUUGGUUCUUUUAUCCCCACAUCAGCCAUAGCCCAUAAGCAUUAACUGCCAUUGCACAGAUGAGGAAAUUGAAAGUCUAAGAGAAUAUGCAAUCUACCCAGAGUCAUGCAGCUUGUGUAUGUAAGGGUUGGAAUGAAAAUCCAAUCUGUGUGAGUCCCAAGUCCCCUUCCACCAUAUGGUUUCCAUUUCAUUUUGCAAUCAGAUUGGCUGGGAUAUGUCUGCCCUAAAAGACAGUAAGUAGGAAUAUUUGUCUCUAUACCUUAACCUGACAUCCAUGGGCUUGCUUUUUGUAUUUGGAGGUGUCAUAACAUUAUAAUAAUAAUUUGAUUUUAUUUGUACAGUGGAUAUUAUACUACUCAGUCUAGAGAUUUAUGACAUCCCAGUCUAAACUGGAUGAUAGCAAUGAAGCUUCUUCAAGGAGACAAGUAUGAGUAAUAAGGUAGUAAUAAGCUGAAUUUCUAUGGAGUUGCUACUUCUGAAUUAAAACUAGUUGAGAUUAAGUAGAUAUUCAAAAAUAUUGCUAUAAUCUUCACUUGAAUAAUACAAACAUUUAUUAUUUUUACAUAUUUAUUUAUUUAUGGAACAUAGAUGUAAUUUUAAAACAAUAUUUUCAAAUUAUAUUAAAAUAUAUUAAAAACAUAAUACAUUAUCACCCAAUAGAGUUUUUCAAAGUAACUCAGUGUUAGUUUAAAAUGUGAAAUUCAAUCAACAUAAUUCACCAUAGAAUACAGUG
ensembl:lncRNA FAM27C family with sequence similarity 27 member C